UACGUAGGGGGCAAGCGUUGUCCGGAAUCAUUGGGCGUAAAGCGCGUGUAGGCGGCUCGAUAAGUCUGCUGUGAAAGUUCAGGGCUCAACCCUGAAAUGCCGGUGGAAACUGUCGAGCUAGAGUCCGGAAGAGGCGAGUGGAAUUCCUGGUGUAGCGGUGAAAUGCGCAGAUAUCAGGAGGAACACCAAUGGCGAAGGCAGCUCGCUGGGACGGUACUGACGCUGAGAGACGAAAGCUAGGGGAGCGAAUGGG
rnacentral:rRNA from 1 species